AUGACAUUGCACAGGAGAGAUUACAUGAAUCUAUGGCUUCACUCCUACAGUACAUGGAUCUCCUGGGUAGACCAGUCUAUCUGUGGAAACAGUUUUGUUAGUGAAACUGGAGGACGUCACAAGGAAAACAGGACAGGAAGACAACAUGGAGCACAAGGCCAUCAAAAGGACAAUAUUCUUUGCCCCGAUGGGAGGUGGGCCCAUGACUUAAGAGCAGAGCCCCAAACCAAGAUUCAGAAGAUGCCCAAAGGUAAGAGUCACAUUCAGCAAUAGUUGGCAAAAUUUGACCUUUCUUGGUCAUAUGUCGCAGCACUGAAAUACCUCUGGGAUGAAACAUGUCAGGACAGCAUGCAGCAACACUCUUUUUCCUCCUGCACUGUUUUUCUACUUGUGCAACAACAAACUUUUCCUCCUGGACAAACUGGGUGUGGGAAACUUUCAUCAUACAAGGCAAUGAAUAAGGAAUGUCUUACUAUGCCCGCUCCUUUUUACGACCAGAGAUGUUAUCUCUCCUGUGCCCAGUGUCAUCUCACAAUUUGCAGACUAAUAUAAAUCAGCAUAUUUUCAACAUAGCCCUCAAAGGUAUUUGAAUAUUCUGAGGUAGGAUAUGCUGGGAAUUGAUAAUCACCCUUCAGAACCUGUAGGGAAC
rnacentral:lncRNA from 1 species